rnacentral:rRNA from 1 species
CCUACGGGUGGCAGCAGUGGGGAAUAUUGCACAAUGGGGGAAACCCUGAUGCAGCGACGCCGCGUGAGUGAAGAAGUAAUUCGUUACGUAAAGCUCUAUCAGCAGGGAAGAAAAUGACGUUACCUGAUUAAGAAGCCCCGGAUAACUACGGGCCAGCAGCCGCGGUAAUACGGAGGGGGCAAGCGUUAUCCGGAUUUACUGGGUGGAAAGGGAGCGUAGACGGUUCGCCAAGUCUGGAGUGAAAUGCCGCAGCUUAACUGCGGAACUGCUUUGGAAACUGGCGAACUAGAGUGCGUGAGGGGUAAGCGGAAUUCCUGGUGUAGCGGUGAAAUGCGUAGAUAUUAGGAGGAACACCGGUGGCGAAGGCGGCUUACUGGAACGUAACUGACGUUGAGGCGCGAAAGCGUGGGGAGCAAACAGGAUUAGAUACCCGUGUAGUC